AAGAUUUUAAGUUAAAAAAAACUAAAAAUUUUCAAAAUUUUAAUUAAAGAAAUAUCUUUAAAUCUUA
rnacentral:tRNA from 1 species